GGUUCAUGAUGACACUGGACCUUGUCUGAAAAAAGUGAUUUCAAAAUUUGAGCUUAAAAUAAUACUCUGAAAUC
rnacentral:snoRNA from 12 species